rnacentral:lncRNA from 1 species
AAUUUUGAGACAGAACCAAUCCUUCACAUUCAAACUCAAAAUGCCCAGGGGUAGAAAAGGAAAACAUUCUCUCUGAAAAACUCUGCAUUUUUCAGACCAAAUUUUUUUUAAAAAAAUAAAAAUAAAAAUAGCCAAUAGCAUGUUAACACGUGGCAGUGUCAAAUGAGUGUCAAAUUUAUGGUGUCAAAAUAACGGGAUCC